rnacentral:snRNA from 1 species
GUGCUUGCUUCCGCAGCACAUAUACUAAAAUUGGAACAAAACAGAGAUUAGCAUGGCCCUGCAUAAGGAUGACAGGUAAAUUCAUGAAGCAUUCCAUAUUAAA